CACACACACACACACACACACACUACUACACAUUUAAAACCUGAACACAUCUGAUUGGAUUAUAAAUGGAUUUUAAUCUUCAUCAUUUAUUCUUUAUUCAGAUUGAGUUACUGCAGUUUGUCAAACACCAGCUGUGAUUAUCUGGUCUCAGCUCUGAAGUCCAACUCCUCCCAUCUCAGAGAGCUGAAUCUAAGAUGGAACUUCCUGCAGGAUUCAGACGUGAAGCAGCUGAUUGAUCUUCAGCAGAGUCCAGACUGCAGACUGGAGACUCUGAGAUGGAAGGGUUACUGGUCUCUGUCAGAGUGAGAGUGAACAUCCAGGAGUGUUGAGAGAGGAUCAGCUGGAUCCUGAUGAUCCAUCUGGAGUCUGGAUCUGGAUUUUGUCGUCUUCACUUAAGUCUCUUAACUGACUACAAACUGAACAGUUAUCUCUGGAUUUAGCUGAAG